rnacentral:rRNA from 1 species
GGAUAGCCCAGGGAAACCUGGAUUAAUACCGGAUGAGACGGGACCCGCGAUGCGGGAUCCGGGAAAGGCGCUGCGGCGCCGCCGGGGGAUGAGUCUGCGUCCCAUUAGCUAGACGGCGGGGUAACGGCCCACCGUGGCGACGAUGGGUAGCCGGCCUGAGAGGGUGGACGGCCACAUUGGAACUGAGACACGGUCCAGACUCCUACGGGAGGCAGCAGCUAAGAAUCUUCCGCAAUGGGCGAAAGCCUGACGGAGCGACGCCGCCGUGAACGAAGAAGGCCGUGAGGUUGUAAAGUUCUUUUCGGGAGGGGGAACAACCGUGGCAGGGAAUGGCCGCGGGAUGACGUGAAUCCCGGAAUAAGCCCCGGCUAACUACGUGCCAGCAGCAGC